GCAGUGGUGGCUUAAUGGUAGAAUUCUUGCCUUCUAUGCAGGAGUCUUGGGUUCGAUUCCCGACCAAUGCA